CGCUUUCACUCCUACGGGAGGCAGCAGUAGGGAAUCUUCCACAAUGGGCGCAAGCCUGAUGGAGCAACACCGCGUGAGUGAAGAAGGGUUUCGGCUCGUAAAGCUCUGUUGUUAAAGAAGAACACGUAUGAGAGUAACUGUUCAUACGUUGACGGUAUUUAACCAGAAAGUCACGGCUAACUACGUGCCAGCAGCCGCGGUAAUACGUAGGUGGCAAGCGUUAUCCGGAUUUAUUGGGCGUAAAGAGAGUGCAGGCGGUUUUCUAAGUCUGAUGUGAAAGCCUUCGGCUUAACCGGAGAAGUGCAUCGGAAACUGGAUAACUUGAGUGCAGAAGAGGGUAGUGGAACUCCAUGUGUAGCGGUGGAAUGCGUAGAUAUAUGGAAGAACACCAGUGGCGAAGGCGGCUACCUGGUCUGCAACUGACGCUGAGACUCGAAAGCAUGGGUAGCGAACAGGAUUAGAUACCCUGGUAG
rnacentral:rRNA from 1 species